rnacentral:tRNA from 1 species
GAGGGUAUAGUUCAAGUGGUAGAGCACAUGCUUAGCAUGCACAAGGUCCUGGGUUCAAUCCCCAGUGCCUCCU